GCGUUACGAGAGGGGUCAGGGUCUCUUCGAGAACCGGCAAUCGGUGAUUACAGCCAAGAUGUGCACUGGUGGUGAUCGGGGAACGUUGCCGCCAUUACGACGAAACAUAAGAACACGUUGCGAAAUUUAUUACUCGGCGAUGAGUCAUGACAACAGUUAACCGGUACGAC